GACGAACGCUGGCGGCGUGCCUAAUACAUGCAAGUAGAACGCUGAAGGAGGAGCUUGCUUCUCUGGAUGAGUUGCGAACGGGUGAGUAACGCGUAGGUAACCUGCCUGGUAGCGGGGGAUAACUAUUGGAAACGAUAGCUAAUACCGCAUAAUAGUAGAUGUUGCAUGACAUUUGCUUAAAAGGUGCAAUUGCAUCACUACCAGAUGGACCUGCGUUGUAUUAGCUAGUUGGUGGGGUAACGGCUCACCAAGGCGACGAUACAUAGCCGACCUGAGAGGGUGAUCGGCCACACUGGGACUGAGACACGGCCCAGACUCCUACGGGAGGCAGCAGUAGGGAAUCUUCGGCAAUGGACGGAAGUCUGACCGAGCAACGCCGCGUGAGUGGAGAAGGUUUUCGGAUCGUAAAGCUCUGUUGUAAGAGAAGAACGAGUGUGAGAGUGGAAAGUUCACACUGUGACGGUAUCUUACCAGAAAGGGACGGCUAACUACGUG
rnacentral:rRNA from 1 species